GCGGGAAUAGCUCAGUGGUAGGCAUCGCCUUGCCAAGGCGAGGGUCGGGAAGUUCAAAUCUCUUCCCGCUCCA
rnacentral:tRNA from 1 species